ensembl:lncRNA
GUCCAGCUUGAUGAAUGUGUCAGGCGGCCCUGCCGGCUGGAACCGCUGCGUUUCAGGCCACGCCAUGUCAUCCCGAGCUAUAAAAGCCGUUUGGAAAAUGAGCAAGGCAAGCCGCUGGGGACCCCGCUGAGCCAGCUGCCUGGACUGUCCGAUGUCCACCUUCACGGGGCGGACGCAGCCGGCCAGACGGAAGAGCGUCAGCGCUGUCGCUCAGUCAUAAAGACGGAGACCAAGCGGUGGUCACGCGGCCAAGGCCUCGCAGGUGGAAGUGGAAACGCCAAGACUGCAGCCCAAGCAAGCGCCUCCAGCCCUUUCUUCCUUGUCUGUCGACAGACCCAGCCCUGGGAUCUGGCUCCAGGCAGCGCUGAGAGCCCCCGGCCCUGCCAGGGGUGGAAAACAGAGCGGCCCACCAGAGGGGAGAGGCCUCUGGCAAGGCUGUGGGGCCAGCAGACACGCUCCCCGGCAGAAUGAGAGGGCUCUCACUUGGGCCCCGACCAGGCAUAGAAUUUCAGCCUCAGCAGUAAAAGCGCCAAGGCCUAACAACCGGCCCGCCGGGAACGCCUCACUUACACUCAGAGGCCGGAACCAGAAGGGCUGUCUUUGGAAUGGGCGGCAGUCGCUCGCUUGGAUCUGUGGGUUUGAGUCUCAAGCAGAGGCAGCAUCUUGGAAGAUAAUCUCUCCUGUGUGCAGCCAGCAGUGACACCAGGCUGGAUGCUGCCGGAGCCCAGCCUCUACCCUGGGCUGUGCUGUUCCUGGGGAGUGGACUGCACGGGCCGGCUCGCCUUCAGUGUGGGCCGAGGGCCUGCUGUGUGCGGGUCCCGCCUCAGAGCAGCACUGCCACCAGCCUGGCCGGAUAGGAUGGCACCUCCCUAUCAUGGCCUCAGAUGGGGUCUCUCCCUGGACCCCCAACUGCCAGGACCGAGGUGGGGCCACAAGCCGUGGCUUCCUCUCUUCACUCGGCAGCUCAGGCGGUAGGAGCAGCUUGUGCAAAGGCCCUGGGGUAGGAGUGCAGUCCGCUCCUCUGGGCAGAGUGGAGGAGAGGAUGGCUGCAGGCCACCUGCUCUCAGGGUGCCUGUGAGACGCGCCCCGGGGCUGCAGGCAUGACCUCUGUGACAGGCACGAGGGGAGCUACAGCUCGAGGCUCAGGCCGCUCAGCUGACAGCUCCUAAUGCGGUGGCUGGGACUCUGCGAUUCUGAAACCCACAUCCCUGAUGCCAUCCCUCACCGCCCUUCAACCCUGAGACCUGGUCCUCUUCUCAGAAUUUGCCUCAGUGGUGUCAGGCCUGGGCUCUGGGCAGCCCUCCUGGACCCCAGGCAUCCUCACUGCAAAACAGAGGGAUGGGUGUGGGCUCCGUGAACGAGCCUGUGGACAUACUCCACAGACACACGCCGCGGACAUGGCCCUUGACUGCACAGCACACGCAGGCACCGUGGCUCUGCACCCACGGGCGUUCAGGCUGGGACCCUGAUGGACAUUUCUAAAAUUCCAAUUGCUGCCCAUUUAUCUCAGUGCAUAUGAGAAAUAACGUACCUGUGUGUGUAACUAGCAACUCAAUCCAUGCUUUCAGUAAUAAAUGAUAGUUUCCUUUUCAAAAUGAUCAUUUCAGUUUAAAAUAGGUGCUUAUUUAAAGAGACAUUUAAUCAGGCAUUACACGUGCCUGUGUGUGUGGUCAGUCGCUCUCUGCUAAGUCGCUUCAGUCGUGUCUGACUCUGUGUGACCCCAUAGACGGCAGCCCACCAGGCUCCCCCGUCCCUGGGAUUCUCCAGGCGAG